CAGGGACUGAAAUCCUUCGGGCACCUCCAAGCAACCUGAACCUUUGGAACCAAAUGUUCAUGGUGCCAUGACCAAUACCAGGAAAGCACAUUGUGCCGCAGGAGGUGCUCCGGCUUCUCAGUUCACAUUCGGAUGAGGAAGCGUUUAAUGCUAACGGGUCGGAGUCAACGUGACUUCAGGCUACGUCCUCGGAGCCCCAGCAGUAACAUCAGCGGAAGAGGCGCGGUGGACGGCGGCAACCACAGGGCUCCUGCCAUGCUGUGUCCUUCCACUGGAGGACCUGGACCCUUUGGCUGGCUCCAAGACAUCGGACCCUCCAACCUGCACACAAAAUUCAGGGCCAAACCUUCCAGGGUACAUGUGGGCCCUGUCUUCCACACAUCCCCUCUGUGAUGCUUCUUGCGGGAUGCUCUCGCUGCACCCUCAGUUAGUGUCUUCUGGUGACGUGCAGCCCCUGUUGCUGCAUGUCCCUCCCGGACCCUCUGACAACUACUUAUUGCACCCCAAUGUGGUGCCUUCUGGGCACAUUCACCCCCUCCCGGCGCACGUCCCUGGUGCCAGUGUGGGGGCUUUGCUGGACCAUCCGCUCAGCCCCUUCUGGGUCCGUUGGGACAAGCAGGCCCUCUUUCUGCCUGUCCCAGCUGGAUCCUCAUGCCUCCCAGGGGGCUCUGUGGCGCUCCGCCCCUCUGGAGGCGGACCCAGGCCCAUGCAUGGCCCGCCCUGCUUACCAGCUACCGGAGAACCCAGCACCAUGGCUUCCCCACCCACCCUACCCUCAGGAGGAGUCCCCAGACUCAUAACCUCGUGUAAUCCACUCUCACUUCAGUCAGCGCUGAUCAGAUUUUGUCCACCGCGCACGCUUGUGAAGCUUAGAAGAAAGGUCUCAGCCGGCUUCGUCAAUCCAUCAUUGCAGAGGCCCAAGCCAUCUGUCACGGCGAGCCUCACACCGGAUGGCGACUCACCAGCAGCCACCAUCCUGUCCACUUCCCUUUACCACGCUUUUCAAUGUCUUCGUUUUUCCCAGAUGAAAAAUGGCGACAGGGUGAAAGACGGGAAAUUGUAA
rnacentral:lncRNA from 1 species